GAAAAUUAAUACUAUAUAACAUUCAUAGGUUAAAUUGGGCUGGAGUGCACUAGAGCUCAGCUCCACCUCCUUAGGUCCACAACAAACCCCAGCGGAGCUCAGCUUCCUCUCCCUCAAUGUAAAACAACCCUCUACUCUUUCUGUUAUUCAAUUUCAUCUCCUAAGAAAUAAAAUAAAGUAUGAAGUUGAAUAAGUGCAAGACGACCCGAAGACACACCCAAAUCAGCUACAUGGGAUUAUCAGACGUC